rnacentral:piRNA from 1 species
UAGAUACCAUACAGUUAAAAGAUCGCAC